GACGAACGCUGGCGGCGCGCCUAAAACAUGCAAGUCGAACGAGAAGCCCGGGCUUGCCCGGGUGGACAGUGGCGAACGGGUGAGUAACACGUGAGGAACCUGCCCCGAAGACCGGGACAACACCGGGCAACCGGUGCUAAUACCGGAUGCCCUCACCGGAACGCAUGGUCUGGUGAAGAAAUGGAUUCCGCUUCGGGAUGGCCUCGCGGCCUAUCAGCUUGUUGGUGGGGUAAUGGCUCACCAAGGCGACGACGGGUAGCUGGUCUGAGAGGAUGUCCAGCCACACUGGGACUGAGACACGGCCCAGACUCCUACGGGAGGCAGCAGUUAGGAAUCUUGCGCAAUGGGCGAAAGCCUGACGCAGCGACGCCGCGUGCGGGAUGAAGGCCUUCGGGUUGUAAACCGCUUUCAGCAGGGACGAAAUUGACGGUACCUGCAGAAGAAGCCCCGGCCAACUACGUGCCAGCCGCCGCGGUAAAAC
rnacentral:rRNA from 1 species